UCCACCGAAACCUCCCUUCACGAAAUUAACCAAAACUCCAAAACUCAUCUCCGCCGAAACCAACCUUCACCCCUCCAUCCAUCGACCAACUCCCACGUCUCCACCGUCAGCCGACCAGCCACCAUCCCUCAUUCCGUCUUCUCCAAUCAAGCAGAGACCCAACAUCAUCUUCUCGACGCCAACAUAAGUUGUUGUCUUCUUCUCUAUCUUCCUCCUUUCCUACAUCCGGCCAACCACCUCCUCUCCAUCACCGCUGGUGGAGCUACUUACUCUCAUCUCUCCUGUUCAGGUUAGAAGAGGAGAGGCCAUAGCUUCCUUUCGGCAGCCACCGCUCUUCCAUCCAUCAUCCAAAAACUUCUCCUUAGGUUAGAGGAGGAACUGAAGCACCUUCCCCUUUCUCUCUUCGGGUUAGAAGAGAGGAAGCUCCACUCCUACUUCCGGUAAUCCCCUCUUUCACCGACUCUUCUCUUCCUCAUCAAGCUCUGGAUUCAUUUCCACCACAUCACCACCUCUCCUCUUCUGGGUUAGGAAGAGGAAGCUUUAUACCUACCCCCGACAACCCCCAUUCCCUCUCCACUGCCGGUUAGAAGUGGAGAGUUCAUUUCCUCCACUCCGGCAACCCUUCAUCGUCUCCAAACAGCUUGCUCCACUCCAGCAGCCCUCCAUAUUCCAUCUUCUGGUUAGAAGAGGGGAAGAGGUCACUUCUAGACAACCACUACAUAUCUGAAGGGGCCACUAGGAAAAACACCAAAUUACCCAUUUCAACUGAUGCUCAAUUGAGAACAAUGCAAAAGGGAUCUGACGACCAUCUUGUUCUAAACAUCGAGUCUGGGUCUGAUCAUUCAAUUGCAGCAAAGUCUAAUGCUAAAGUGGUAGGUGUUUUGUCCCAGUCUCAAGUCGACAAUCCUUUUUGAGUGUAACUAGUAGAAUUGUUGCAGAAGGUCGAAUUGCAUCCACAAAUCCAAACAUAAAAGUGCAUCAUGUUAUUCUUGGUGGAUCAUGUUGGAAAGUUUGGGUUGAUAAGAUUUUGGUGGAAAAGGUGGACCUAAUUCAACCAAAUGAUGAAAUGCAGUCUCUCGAUGAUGCAAUAGGAAGCACGGUCGCAUGGUUAUCUAAAUUUAUAGUAUUUUGUGAUUGAUACAUAUUAUACUAAUUUGUUUGAAUUGUAAGUUGAAUUGUUGUUAUGUAAUUGCUAGUUUGUUA